GUUUGAUCCUGGCUCAGGACGAACGCUGGCGGCAGGCUUAACACAUGCAAGUCGAACGAUCCUUCGGGAUAGUGGCAGACGGGUGAGUAACGCGUGGGAAUCUACCUUUUGGUACGGAAUAGCUCCGGGAAACUGGAAUUAAUACCGUAUGUGUCCUUCGGGAGAAAGAUUUAUCGCCAAGAGAUGAGCCCGCGUUUGAUUAGGUAGUUGGUGGGGUAAUGGCCUACCAAGCCGACGAUCAAUAGCUGGUCUGAGRGGAUGAUCAGCCACAUUGGGACUGAGACACGGCCCAAACUCUACGGGAGGCAGCAGUGGGGAAUAUUGGACAAUGGGCGCAAGCCUGAUCCAGCCAUGCCGCGUGAGUGAUGAAGGCCCUAGGGUUGUAAAGCUCUUUCGCCGGUGAAGAUAAUGACUGUAGCCGGUAAAGAAGCCCCGGCUAACUUCGUGCCAGCAGCCGCGGUAAUACGAAGGGGGCUAGCGUUGUUCGGAAUUACUGGGCGUAAAGCGCACGUAGGCGGACAUUUAAGUCAGGGGUGAAAUCCCGGAGCUCAACUCCGGAACUGCCUUUGAUACUGGGUGUCUCGAGUAUGGAAGAGGUAAGUGGAAUUGCGAGUGUAGAGGUGAAAUUCGUAGAUAUUCGCAGGAACACCAGUGGCGAAGGCGGCUUACUGGUCCAUUACUGACGCUGAGGUGCGAAA
rnacentral:rRNA from 1 species